rnacentral:rRNA from 1 species
AUUGAACGCUGGCGGCAGGCUUAACACAUGUAAGUCGAGCGGGGUGAUGGUGCUCGCACUAUCACUUAGCGGCGGACGGGUGAGUAAUGCUUAGGAAUCUGCCUAUUAGUGGGGGACAACAUCUCGAAAGGGAUGCUAAUACCGCAUACGUCCUACGGGAGAAAGCAGGGGAUCACUUGUGACCUUGCGCUAAUAGAUGAGCCUAAGUCGGAUUAGCUAGUUGGUGGGGUAAAGGCCUACCAAGGCGACGAUCUGUAGUGGGUCGGAGAGGAUGAUCCGCCACACUGGGACUGAGACAAGGCCCAGACUCCUACGGGAGGCAGCAGUGGGGAAUAUUGGACAAUGGGGGGAACCCUGAUCCAGCCAUGCCGCGUGUGUGAAGAAGGCCUUAUGGUUGUAAAGCACUUUAAGCGAGGAGGAGGCUCUUUUGGUUAAUACCCAAGAUGAGUGGACGUUACUCGCAGAAUAAGCACCGGCUAACUCUGUGCCAGCCGCCGCCGUAA